rnacentral:rRNA from 1 species
AUUGAACGCUGGCGGCAGGCCUAACACAUGCAAGUCGAGCGGAUGAAGGGAGCUUGCUCCUGGAUUCAGCGGCGGACGGGUGAGUAAUGCCUAGGAAUCUGCCUGGUAGUGGGGGAUAACGUCCGGAAACGGGCGCUAAUACCGCAUACGUCCUGAGGGAGAAAGUGGGGGAUCUUCGGACCUCACGCUAUCAGAUGAGCCUAGGUCGGAUUAGCUAGUUGGUGGGGUAAAGGCCUACCAAGGCGACGAUCCGUAACUGGUCUGAGAGGAUGAUCAGUCAACCUGGAACUGAGACCCGGUCCAGACCCCUAGGGGAGGCAGCGGGGGGGAAUAUUGGAAAAUGGGCGAAAGCCUGAUCCAGCCAUGCCGCGUGUGGGAAGAAGGUUUUCGGAUUGUAAAGCUCUUUAAGUUGGGGGGAAGGGCAGUAAGUUAAAACCUUGCUUUUUGGGCGUUACCAACAGAAUAAGCACCGGCUAACUGCGU